UACGUAGGGGGCUAGCGUUGUCCGGAUUUAUUGGGCGUAAAGAGCUCGUAGGCGGUUUGUCACGUCUGCUGUGAAAUCCCGAGGCUCAACCUCGGGCCUGCAGUGGGUACGGGCAGACUGGAGUGCGGUAGGGGAGAAUGGAAUUCCUGGUGUAGCGGUGGAAUGCGCAGAUAUCAGGAGGAACACCGAUGGCGAAGGCAGUUCUCUGGGCCGUAACUGACGCUGAGGAGCGAAAGCGUGGGGAGCGAACAGG
rnacentral:rRNA from 1 species